rnacentral:rRNA from 1 species
AACGCGAAGAACCUUACCAGGACUUGACAUGCAACUGCACCACCCGUAAUGGGGUGUCCCUUCGGGGCGAUUGCACAGGUGCUGCAUGGCUGUCGUCAGCUCGUGUCGUGAGAUGUUGGGUUCAGUCCCGCAACGAGCGCAACCCCUGCCGCUAGUUAGGAUGUCUAGCGGGACCGCCGCGAUCAACGCGGAGGAAGGCGGGGAUGACGUCAAGUCAGCACGGCCCUUACGUCCUGGGCUACACACACGCUACAAUGGUCGGUACAACGGGCUGCCAACCCGCGAGGGGGAGCCAAUCCCAACAAAACCGGCCUCAGUUCAGAUUGUAGGCUGAAACCCGCCUGCAUGAAGGAGGAGUUGCUAGUAACCGUGGGUCAGCACACCACGGUGAAUACGUUCCCGGGCCUUGUA